rnacentral:lncRNA from 1 species
AGGAUCCAACUACGGUACCACCGUGGUACCCGUACCACUGGUUUUAUCUUUUGUGCCAGCUGUGUUGUAAAUUUUCAUUGAACCCCUUUCAUUCAUUUUUAUUUAAAAUUUACCUCAUAAAUAUUAAAUUAAUUUCUAUUGCAUCCAUAGAAACAUUAUAAUUAGCACCUUAUACUAUUUGUUAUUUAUACAUUUUUCUUCUAUAUUACACCUUUAUCAAAAUACCCCUCUCUUUAUCACAAAUACCCGCGAACCCGACCCGAAUUUCAUUUCCAUUUCCGUCCACGCCACCGGCCAAGGUUGGUACCGAUCGAAAGAUCGUGCGACGCCGGUCAUCUCCACGCCAUCCUUAUCACAAAAAUAACCGGGUCAACCCGACCCGCGAACCCGACCCGGAUUUUGUUUCCGUUUCCGGCAACUCCACCGGCCAAGGUUGGUACCGAUCGGAAGCUCGUGCGACGCCGGUCAUCUCCAUGUCAUCCUUGUCGCCGUAAAGCAUUCGGAAA